UGUGGAUCAUACUAAACAAGGCCAGGUGUGUGUAUAUAUGUACAUGUCAAUGUAUUGUGGAUCAUACUAAAUAAGGCCAGGUGUGUGUUGUAUAUAUGUACAUGUCAAUGUAUUGUGGAUCAUACUAAACAAGGCCACGUGUGUAUAUACGUACAUGUCAGUGUAUUGUAGAUCAUACUAAACAAGGCCAGGUGUGUAUAUACGUACAUGUCAGUGUAUUGUAGAUCAUACUAAACAAGGCCAGGUGUGUAUAUACGUACAUGUCAGUGUAUUGUGGAUCAUACUAAACAAGGCCAGGUGUGUGUAUAUAUGUACAUGUCAGUGUAUUGUGGAUCAUACUAAACGAGGCCAGGUGUGUGUUGUAUAUAUGUACAUGUCAAUGUAUUGUGGAUCAUACUAAAUAAGGCCAGGUGUGUGUUGUAUAUAUGUACAUGUCAAUGUAUUGUGGAUCAUACUAAACAAGGCCACCAGAGUAAAGGUGGGAUACUUGCGAAGGCUUGCGACUAUAUCCAAGACCUGAGAAGUACCAAUGUCCGAUUACCUGAUAUAUUAAAGGACAACGAGCAGCUUUCAUUGAACAUUGAGUUACUGAGACAACAGUGUGAAGACUUGAAAAAUGAAAAUCAGAUGUUCCGAGCACAUCUGCAACAACAAGGGAUUAGUAUAUCUGAUCAGCUGAGAACAAAUUCAACAUAGCUGAUAUUACAAAGAGUGUAUGCAUUGGUAUUCAGGCCGUAUAGAAUGUCUGAUUUUGACUUGUUCAAGGUUUUUACUUCAAAAGAAAAACAUGUACUCCAGCAACUUUGAAGUUUUUUAACCAGAGAAACAAAGAAACGGCACUAGUGUUGGUUUGCCUUAUUUAUCACUUGUUUAAAACGUAUAUAUAUCAGUGGGUGAAAAAGAUCACGUGAAACCGUUGCUGCUUUUGGUACCCAUUUUAUGUUAUAAUUAGGAGAUAAAAUUCUUGUUAUUAUUAUUAUUAUUGCCUAAAGUAAGGGUGGAGUUUUGUAAAUAUUUUAAAUGAAACUUGUGAAACAGAAAUUAUUUCUACAAAUUUUACAUUGUGUACUUAUGUAGCAAGCAAGUGCGAACAGUUACCUAAAAGUCUGUAUGUCUGUCGCUUUGUUGAGAAUGACACAUUUGGUUUAUACUAAGGUGAGGAUAUGGUUGAACCAUUAUAAGUUUAUAGAUACACAUGAAUUACAGGUAAGUAGGUAGAGAAAAAUGAAUUACAGGUAAGUAGGUAGAGAAAAAUGAAUUACAGGUAAGUAGGUAGAUACACAUGAAUUACAGGUAAGUAGGUAGAUACACAUGAAUUACAGGUAAGUAGGUAGAGAAAAACCCUGUUAGUAUUUUGUUUAUUGGAAUACUUUUAACCCUUUAACUUAGAUUAUCAAACAACUGAAUAUACACUUAACAUAACAGAUUUAAUAGAGAGCAUGUGAAACUAAAUAUUUUAACACACUCAUUAUUCCAGGAUGUUUUCUUUCACGUUAUGUUCCAUGCUCAGAUUGUGGCAUGAUUUCUUUUCAACGUUUAUUAAAUAAGAUAAACAUAUAAACGGUUUUGGCGUAUUAACUUGGAUUGGUAGCACACAUAGACAUCGGUUAAUAACCAUUACAACGAAACAUAACCUGGAUUACACGUCCUGCUAUCCAUAAGCUCUUUAGUUGUGAGGGUGAAAGUUUUAGUACAUGUAGAGUGUUUUAUAUCUAUAAUUAUAUUGAAUCAAUAAAACAGUAAUUUUUUUUCUACACUACGUAAAGUAAGAGCAUGAUAUUAUACUUGUAUUUUAAGUACAUUCAGACAAGAGUUAACCCGUAUGUUAUGUGCAUAUGUAUAUAUUAUACAUGCAUGUGUACAGAAUUGAAAAUUGUGCUUUGCACAUGCUGUAAGCAGCAGAUAAAAUAAAAUGUGUAAUAAAUGUG